AUUGAACGCUGGCGGCAGGCCUAACACAUGCAAGUCGAACGAGGGGCGGACGGGUGUGUUAUGUCUGGGAACCUGCCUGAUGUAGGGGGCUAACUACUGGAAACGGUAGCUACUCCCGCAUACCAUAAGAUGUGCCAAGAGUGGUUGAGCUUGUUGGUGGGGUAGCGGCGCACAAAGACGACGAUCCCUAGCUGGUCUGAGAGGCUGACCAGCAACACUGGAACUGAGACACGGUCCAGACUCCUACGGUAGGCAGCAGUGGGGAAUAUUGCACAAUGGGCGCAAGCCUGAUGCAGCCAUGCCGCGUGUAUGAAGAAGGCCUUCGGGUUGUAAAGUACUUUCAGCGGGGAGGCGUUACCCGCAGAAGAAGCACCGGCUAACUCCGUGCCAGCAGCCGCGGUAGUUC
rnacentral:rRNA from 1 species